UCUCUAUUGUAUAAAGACGAGAUCUUGAUCAUAGAUUGAGAACAUGUGAGUCGUAAUCGAUCUUUCAACUGUUGUGUACUCUGAAAAAGGCAUUACAUAGGCAAUAAGUAAGCAAUACAUAGGCACUAGGUGCAGAACAUAGACCUCAUAUCGAAAUUAGUAUUUGCCUUACAUAUGUCACCCAGGGCAUUACACGGUGGCACAGGAUUCCAAAACACAUGAACUUCAAACAUUUCUGGCAAGGACUUUGCCAGUGAUGUUUGGAGAGUGCAUGCAUAAUGCUAUUGCUCUGCGGCUAUGCCAGGAAACUUGCAAAAGUUUUCUUUGUUUAGCACAGAGCUUAAAGCAAGACUAGAGAGGUAUCAGAGGCAAGUGUGGAAUGCAAAUUACAUUACAUUGGUGGUAUUUGGAAAGUUUAGAUAAAAGACGAGCAUUUGAAGACAAUGCGUUGAGGUCCUCGAGGAUUUCUGCCCCUGGAAGAGUGUUACGCCACUGGGUGAAAAGAACCAGACAGAUAUUGCUAGCUUUACUCCCUUACUGCCUGCAUUUACCACUCGUCGGUCUCUUCUUCCUGAUAUAUUUUCUUCUUUCAUACUUGCAUUCUUUGUUCGGAUGACACAAAUCAAUACAUAGUGUAUGAUGCCUACACAUGUGAGAGAGAAAAAUGUAUCUCCUUAAAAUUUUACUAAUUAGUCUAGCUCAACUUGUGAAAUUUUCUACUCACAUGUCCCUGUACGGUCUUACACCUAUUUUUUCCAUCAAUGUGGCAUAGAUUUUUUUUUCACUUUCUCAGUGCUUUCAAAGUCUGCAAGCUCAACUUGGAUGAUGAAAUUAUGAUUUCUAGACAUCUUUAAAGUUGUAAUUUUUAUA